rnacentral:misc_RNA from 1 species
AAGUCGUAACAAGGUUUCCGUAGGUGAACCUGCGGAAUGAUCAUUAACACGUAUCCAAACGUUAAAACCCCCCCCGUGAACCUUCAUCCUGCUCUUGUGUUGUAGUGAUUCAGAGACCUCUGGCUACGUGCGAACAUUGGAACAGUUACAAUCGAGCGGUAGUUCUAUAGGCAAUGUUUCCCCAAACAGUCAGUGUCGGAAAGUGUCAUUGAUUGUGCAAGGAUAGCGCUUCUACGAUUUCGUGUAGACCGUACACUCGGGCAGGAGCUUUGCCAAAGGGUCCCCAUGCCCCCUAAUAACCCCACAGUUUAAUGUGAAGCUCAAUGUAAUACAUUGGGUAAAAAAACCGAACAACUGUUAACAAUGGAUAUCUUGGUUCUC